rnacentral:rRNA from 1 species
CAGCCGUAAACAAUGUGCGUUAGGUGUGUCGGUAACCACGUGUUACUGAUGCGCCGAAGAGAAAUCGUGAAACGCACCACCUGGGAAGUACGGUCGCAAGGCUGAAACUUAAAGGAAUUGGCGGGGGAGCACCACAACAGGUGGAGCCUGCGGUUUAAUUGGAUUCAACGCCGGACAUCUCACCGGAUAAGACAGACAUAUGAUAGUCGGGCUGAAGACUCUACUUGAUGAUCUGAGAGGUGGUGCAUGGCGUCAGUGACU